rnacentral:rRNA from 1 species
GACGAACGCUGGCGGCGUGCCUAAUACAUGCAAGUCGGACGCAGUUGCGAACGGGUGAUUAACGCGUAGGUAACUGCCUAUUAGAGGGGGAUAACUAUUGGAAACGAUAGCUAAUACCGCCUACUAGUAGAUGGACCUGCGUUGUAUUAGCUAGUAGGUAGGGUAAUGGCCUACCUAGGCGGCGAUACAUAGCCGAGUUGGGGAGGAGGUCGGGCACAACUGGAAUGAGGCACGGCCCAGACUCCUAAGGGAGGCAAGAGUAGGGGAACUUUGGCAAAGGGGGGAACCCUGAACGAGCAAAGCCGGGGGAGGGAAGAAGGGUUUCGGAUCGUAAAGCUAUGUUGUGAAGGAAGCGGUACUUAACGAGAAAGGGACGGCUAACUACGUGCCAGCAGCCGCGGUAAUAC